CUGUGGCGGAUGUUCCAAAACAUAGAACUGAUGUGGACUUUUGCAAGGAACUACUUGGCGAAACAGAUGACAUUAGAAACGUAUUCAAAUAUCAGAUGUCUUUACAAAAACAUCCUAGAAAUAAAUCCGUUACCACGUUUCUAGAAUCAAAUAUGACAAAACUGCAGACAUAUGUAAGUAAAAUGCACAAUCGUUUAAAACAUUUGUUGGUAUAUUUCGCUAGAUGCAAAAACUGAUUUUGAUGUCUCUAUUAAUAGAAAAAUCAGAAUAGCAGAAAUGUUAAUGAAAAAUAUACUUCUGGUAACAGAUCAGUGGAAAGAAGCUAUAAAUAACCAUUAAAAUACAAAUAUUGAUUGUUUGUUGAUAAUCGAGUGGCAAAUGUUUAUAACUUGUUUAGCAUGUGAACACAUUAUCCUUUAAUGCAAUAGGUAGGACCUCUAAGAGAGACCAUUCGGAAUGAAAAUUUGGCAAAUAUACUGCUACUUAAAUCUGAGUAAAAAUUAAAAAGGCACAUAUAUUUUGUCUUGCAACAGGCAACCUAUGGACCCCUCAAAGAUUAGUUUCAUGGGUACCAAUUGUGUAAAGAGCGUGGAACUGUCUAUACACGAGGAAUAAUAUUUUACGUCCCUAUUCUGACUGGAGGUGGAGCGUACUUUUACAACCUACACAGCAAAGCGGAUGUUUCGGAAAGACUCUUACUGCAGGUCGGACUCCAUUUCUUGCAACAAUUGAGAGUUAUUCCUAUAAUUUGAGAAAGAUUUCUUGUUGAAUUUUUUUUGGGUUAUAUUUUCUUUUUUUUAAUUUUCAUCUUUUUCCUUCUCUAAAACCCAAAUAACGUGUUGUGAGGAAGUAUGAUCAUUUGAUGUAGCGACAAAAUACUUCACAUUUAGGUAGGAUUUCUGCAAAGCUGUUAAAGAUGACCAAAUUAUACAACCAUUGACACUAAAGUGACCUUGAAGAUAAUUGGUCCCCAUCAAAUAGUCUUUCUUUCAGAUUAUUUGCCGUACAAGUAUAACCUCCUCAUAUUUUAGAGAAUGUCUAUUGCAUUUUGAACUACAUUAUUAUCAGAUUCAUUUGUUACAUCUACUUAUAAUUGUCUUUCUAUCUCAAUCAAAAGACACUUUUUAAAUUCAAACCAUAAACAGGACAUUAAAUAGUCAGUCGUGAAUCCAAUAUAAGUCUUCUGAGCAAUCCCUCAACAACACAUAUUUGUGCAAUCUAAAUUUUAAAUAUUGUGCUCUGUAUGUAUGGAGCAUACUAAUCAAAAGUGAAAGCGAAAAGGAAAAAUAAAACCUUUGUAUUUGCCAACAACUAUUACAUACAAGACUGUGACUACGCAUGUUUGAUCUUCUUUGAACCAAUCUGGUACGACACUACUUUCAAUCCUGUGGAAUAAACGAUUAGAAAGUUAGACGGUGUAGAUAUGUGCAACGCAACUCAAAUAAAUGAAGAAUAACUUUAACUAAUAAACAUGACCCAAGAUUGUUUACAGACAGCAAACUACCGCAGGUAACAGGGGAAUAAAUAUAUCGUCACUACAAGUCUUUUCCGAGCGGAAGUUACAUUUGCUAAAGUUGGACGUUUGUUUCGGAUGAGCGGGAUGUUUAAGUACAGAGCCACGUCUUGUAAGAAUAUGCACGUUCAAUCCAACGCCUCCUGUACCGAGAGUGAGACGCUCUCUGCACGUUAUGGACCAUUGCAAAAACUCGUAAAGGGGUCCGUAAGUGGCCUGUUCCAAUGCAAAGUUCUAAGUCGCUAUUCAAUAAACCCUUAUUCUCCUAAUUUUUUGCAGACAUCCUCUCUAUUAUUGGACCUUUCAGAUGUAUUUCUUUUUAAUUUGUUCUAGUCCUGAAAUACUUGCAUCUAGACGUUAAGCAAUCAACAACAAAUCGAUUUAUCAAAGCAUUUGCCUUAGAAAUGAAAACUAUUGGCAAUUUCAAAAUGCAUCCCAAAAUCAAUCAAAAAUGAUCAAACCAAGAAUAAUUAAAAAACUUAAAAGAUAUGGUGCCUGUGGAAAUGAAUGUUUGCUUUUUAGUAAAGCUUGGUACAAGGAGUACUAUUCAUUAGACAGAGUGCGAAAUGUGAUGAGACACGACGAUAUAAGCGGAGUCAUCAAAUGCACUCAAAACUUAAUUAAACAGAUAUUGGACCAAGACCCAAGAUUUUGUGUUUUCUUAUUUUAUAUUACAAAUGCUAAAAUCAUUGACUGUUUAGUAAAAGGGAAAAAAAUUACCAAUUCUGAUUAAAUCUUGUAGGAAAGUCACUUUUUGGGGGUCUUCUUGUCGGGGAUUGUCGGUUGCUGAACCACUGCAAUUUGAGGCAUAUUUCUGUCUGCUUAAUACGUUCACCAAUAAAAUAAAUAGAUGGACCGAUUCAAUAAGUCAAGUAAAAAAAUUGGCCUGACCUAAUACAACUUAAUUAAUUUAAAUAUCUCCUUUGAUCUUUAAACAAAUUUAACCUCAAUUUAUUAUCAUGAACAUCUCCAGGUGGUGUACUUUUAAAAAAAAGAUGUGGUAUGAUUGCCAAUGAGACAAUUCUAGGUCACCGUACGGCCUGCAACAAUGAGCAAAGCCCAUACCACAUAGUCAGGCCCCUAAUGACAAUGUAAAACAAUUCAAACGAGAACACUAACGGCCUAAUCGUUUUGGCUGUGCGGGAUAUACAAGUACGAAGCCACGUCUCGUAGAACGGGAACGUUAAAUCCGCCUCCUUUUGUACUGAGACGCUCUCUGGAUUAAAGAUCAAUGGAGAUUUUUGAACUUUUUAAGGUGUAUUGAGGUCAGGAUAUUUUUUUUAAAUGUGAAACUACUUAGUAUGUAAACUGGAUAUAAUGUUAUCUACCAGUAAUAAGCUAUACCAGGCACUGCUCUGCUUUCGUGCAAAUCCUCAGAUUGUGUGCUGAGACUAUUUAUAGUACAUCCGAAUCAUUCCAUUUGUUGUGGAGUUGAAAUUACAAUACAAGUGGACAGAUAAACUGAACGGCCGGUUAAUUCCUAGAAGCUUAUAAAAUAGACUGAAUUGUGACAUCGUGCCCUUAAAAAUUUGCUAAAAUGCCAAACAAACUGUUCUUAAAUUCAAAUUUUGGGAUACAGUGGCAUAAUCGUAUCAUAAAUUUCGAAGAUUUUAGCAAAUUUGGUUUCUUAGCUUCACACUGUAUUUUCUCAUAAAAUCACUUCCCUUUAUGUGAAUUGAUCCAUUUGCUAAUCUGGCAAAACAAAGUUAUCUUAAGCAAGGCCUGCACUUUUUCAACUCUUUGACCAACAGAUCUUACCAGAUUUUCAUGUUUUCUAUGAAGAUACCGAUCACGUUUGCCGACGAUUAAGUCUUUGUCGAUGUUUUGCACAGAUUUAUGUCUGAGGGUGCAAGUGAAUUUUACGUCAUCUGCUUUGGUAAUAUAUUUUAAAGCUUGGCUGAACUCUGACAUCGUGCCUUAAAAAGGAAAAUCACAAAAAUACUCAGGAAAUUCCAAUCGGAAAGUCCAUAAUCACAUGGCAAAAACAAAUCACAUCAAAAACAAAUGGACAAGAACUGUCAUAUUCCUGACUUGGUACAUGCAUUUUCAAAAUGUAGAACACGGUGGAUUAAACCUGGUUUUAUAGCGCUAAUCCUCUCACUUUGUUGACACGUUUUAUUUACAAAGUCAAUGAUGCGAGAACUAAACAGACAUAAUAAAUAAAAUAGUCAAAAUAUGGGUACAGCAGUCAUCAUCGUAGCAAUUUUAAAAGGAACAAUUUAACAGAACACAAACACAUCUAUCUACAAACACUUUCAUUGCGUCGCGUGUCUGACGUCAGUGAAUUGUAUACGUCAUAUAUUUUUGUCGUUCAAUGUUUAUACACAUAAUAUAAAAAUUUCAUAAGGGCAAUGUUAGCAAUCAUAAGUUUGUUAGAAUUAAUUUUAGAAAUAGUCCGAGAUUUAAAAUAGUCCAAAAGUUAUAUAGAAUUUAUAAGAAUCCACAAAUAGUUUAUUCCACUAAACGAUUGCAUAAUUUUGACGUUUGUGGUUCAACGUAUUUUGUAAUUCAUAAUAGAAAUAUAUCAAAAAGUUUGCAAAAAUAUAAGUUGAUGAUUUUUAAAAUUCAGAGUUUGGGAUAAAGUGGAAAUUUGUUUCAUAAGUUUUGAAGAUCGUGGAUGCUAAGCUCCACACCAUGCAGACAAUAACUUGUAUUACUUAGGUGUGAAGUUAGUAAAGAGAUCGAUUAUUUGAGGGAAAUUGGGCAGAGAAGAACACAAAACAACAGAUGAAUCAUUGACAAGGAUUUAAAUAGUAGGCAAACGCGAUCGAACAAUUCAGUCUAAUUAACUAUAUAUUGUGCUGUAUAUGUGUAUGGUAUCAUUAUGGGUUUUGAAUGUUAUGGUACGAUAGUACCCAUAGAAUUUGUGCUGUCUCCGUUGUUAAACGUGCUGACCGUACUGUGAAUUACUUGAACAUUUGGAGUUGUCUCCCAUUUACUUACUUUCGUUUUUGUUUACAUCAUGGACACCGCAUGGAAAUUUGUUGCUAUAUGUCAGCACAGUGUAAGUAAUAUACGACAUCAUACAUUUAUUUGAACUUCUCUUAUAUGGACAACAUCGGUCAUAUGCAUAAUCGGUAUAAAUUAUGCUUCCAAUGGACCAGGCAACCGAAAUGCUACCGUUCAGCAGCCGACCUACUUUGAACCUACGAAAACUUACCACAAACUAUUACCGGAGUAUACUUACCUUAUAAACAGUCCUACACAUUGAUUUAUUAUACUUACCUGAACUAUUUACCCGAUUUUUUGUGAAAUAUUGUGGCACAGUGGAACUCUGUUGAAAAAACAAUCUAUGGAACGCCAAUUUAACACUAACAGUUUACAAAAUAUAGACAUUUGCUUGAUUGUGUGUUUUAUAAAUGAAAACGAGUAUUUUAUGUUUACUUAUGAUGUUCUUUUUAUAUUUUGUAGCUUUUUACCAUAAAGUUUGAGGAAUAAAGCAUUUAAACUCAACUGGUUAGCUUACUGUUAUUGCAAGCGACUUUGUGACAGACAGUACAGUAAAAAGACUUUUACACAUAUAACAAGGAACCAGGUCAGGAAUACUAUACAGGAAGGGACUAUUUGUCAAGCCUACACAGUAUUUUUGGAAAAUCAAAAUGGCGGAUUCAGGAGACAAAAAACACUAAAAGAGAUAGGACUUUAACAGACAAAGGAGAAGACUUACAUCAGUCUAAAAAAAGCUGCAUAUUUAUCAAAACUACAAAAACUGUGGACCAAUAUACAAGCAUUGAUUUCUGAUAUAGAAAACCAAACAACGCUUGAAUCAUUACGUGUUUUAAACGAUAAAUUAAAUUCCAUAUAUGUCAAAUAUACAGCCACCUCACAAGAAUAUACAAACUUUUUAGUACGUACAAAAACUAACGAGAGUCAAAAGGAAGCUGAAUACCUGAUGGAUGUCAUCAAAUCUCACAAUAUUGUAAUAGACAGUGCUCUGAAGCAAAUAUUUAUGAAAACUAAAACAUUCACUUUGCAAUCAAAAGCAUCCUCGCAUAGAUCAGGUAGGAGCAGUGCUAAUUCAAAGAGAAGUUCCAUUUUAGUUCAAAAACGUGCGGAACUUGAGGCAUCAAAGACAAAAUUAAAGUUUGCCGAAGAAGAGGCAAAGAUACACAAACAAAAGGCUAUGAUUGAGGAACAGCAGGAGUUAUCAAAUGCUAAAGUGUCUAGACAAAAAGCAGAGUUACAGGUUGACUUAAAUAUGCUUGUUCAAAAGAAGGAAACCGAAGCAGCCAAAGUCGAGCUGGAAGUUUACGAGGCUGAAGAAGAAGUUCGUAGUGGUCUAGCACUUAGUGAGUACGAUGUCAACCAAGAUAUUAAUGUUGUUGAACGUACGAAUAAAUUUGUUGAGGAGCAAGUGAAAAAUACUGUAAAUCAGCCUACAGAAAGAGAGGAUUUAGUCACACCUAUUCAAAGACAGUAUCCUGACUUCGUACCAACUCCACGUAAUUUGAUGCAUACUGCUCGUGUUCCACCUGCAAACACAGAACAAUCAAUCACUUCAGAGUUUACCAGAUUCUUACUCAAGAAGGAUCUACUACUGACCCGUCUCAGUAGUUUUAACGACAGACCAGAAUUUUACACACUAUGGAAGUCUACAUUUCUUAGUAUUAUGCAAGAGCUAAGUGUUAACACCAGUGAGGAACUAGAUCUUUUGAUAAAGUGGUUAGGACCGGAAUCCAGUAAAAAUGCAACAAGUAUUAGAGCUUCAAAUCACAGUGAUCCACAAAGAGGACUCAAAAGAAUCUGGGAGCGCUUAGACGAAAGAUAUGGGAGUCCAGAAUUAGUAGAAGCUACACUAAAGUCUAAAUUGAAGAACUUUCCUAAACUAACAAACAAAGACCAUAAAAAACUUUAUGAAUUAGCAGAUAUUUUGGGUGAAAUUGAAUCUACUAAAUGCAAUGAAAAGUACAGCUCAUCAUUAGCUUACUUCGAUUCUUCUACAGGAGUUCUGCCAAUCGUUAACAAGCUUCCUUAUGGGAUUCAAGAGAAGUGGACCAAUCAUGCAGUGAUAUAUAAAAAGAAGAAUGAAGUCACCUUUCCACCUUUCUCUGUAUUUGUGGAAUUCAUCAGAGACAUGAGCAGGAUUAAAAAUGACCCUUCUUUCUUCUACGAGACGACAAAUCAGCAUGAUAAAACAAGUAGGACGUUGCCAAGGAGCACAGCUGACAGGUCCUUUAUUUCAACUAGAAAAACAGAUGUCUUACCGAACUCAGAUUUGAAUAACAACAGUAUUGAGAAGAAAUGCUCAUUUCAUAAAACGGGCGGUCAUACACUGAACAAUUGUCGGGCAUUUAAAGCCAUGUCUAUAAGUGAACGUAGGAAGCUAUUAAAGGAGAACGGGAUAUGUUUCAGGUGCUGUGGCACGAGCAACCACAUGAAGAAAGAUUGUAAGGAGAGUAUAAAAUGCUCAGACUGUGGAAGUGAAAGACACGCAACAGCAUUACAUAUAGAAAAAGGAACACAAUUGUCUUCUCCUGUUUCCAAUCACGAAGGGGAGAUUGAAAAAACAGAUGUGUCAUCCAGAUGUACGCAAAUAUGUGGUGAGGGUUUCAGUGGGAAAUCGUGUGCAAAGACAUUGCUCGUAGAUGUUUACCCAGAUGGUAAGCCAGAAAAUGCUAUAAGGACAUAUGCAAUUCUAGACGACCAAAGUAACAGGUCGCUAGCCAGGUCUACAUUUUUUGACAUUUUCGGAUUGAACGGAAGUUCUAUGGAAUACACUUUAUCUACAUGUUCAGGAAGUACUGUCAACACAGGAAGGAGAGCUUGUAACUUUAUUGUGGAGUCAUUAGAUAGACAAUCAAAGUUAGAACUCCCAACAUUGAUAGAAUGCAACCAAAUACCUGAUCAGAAGGACGAAAUUGCUACAAAGGAGGUAGCACAGUCAUACGCUCAUUUACAUGACAUUUGUGGAUUUAUUCCGAGUUUGGAUGAAACUGCAUCAACCCUUCUGUUGAUUGGAAGGGAUUUACCAGAGGCGUAUCACGUGUUUGAUCAACGCAUUGGUCAUAGGAAAUCUCCAUACGCCCAGAAAUUACCAUUAGGAUGGGUAAUUGUUGGAGAGGCAUGCUUGGGGAAAGUGCAUGCUCCAGAAGUAGUAAAUGUCAACAAAACAUUCGUAUCUGGAACCAGCAGGGAGUCGAUCUUCAAGGCUUGUCCAAACAACAUUAAAGUUAUGGAAGAAACACCAAGCGACCUCGUUUUAAACGACCAAGAUGAUUCAUUUGGAAUGACCAUAUUUGAAAGAACAAAGGAAGACAACGAAACAGGAACGUCAGUAGAAGACAGAACGUUUUUGGAAAUAAUGAACAAAGAUAUGCACAAGGAUAAGAACGAUCAUUGGAUAGCACCACUUCCUUUUCGAUCUCCACGACCUGUUUUACAGAAUAAUCGUGCACAUGCUUUAUUCAGAGCAAGAAACCUAGAUAGAACACUACAAAGGGACGUUCUUAAGAAAUACCAGUUCACUGAAUUCAUGCAAGGAAUACUAGAACAAGGACAUGCAGAGUUAGCGCCACCUGUAACAGAACACGAAGAGUGCUGGUAUCUUCCAGUUUUUGGUGUAUAUCACCCGAGAAAAAAGGACAAGGUGCGCAUAGUUUUUGAUUCUUCAUCGAAGUACAAGGGGAUAUCAUUGAACGAUGUACUCCUCACAGGUCCGGAUCUUACAAACAACUUGUUGGGUGUACUUCUUCGCUUUAGAAAGGAGCCUAUUGCCAUUACUGCAGAUAUACAGCAAAUGUUUUAUUGCUUCCGAGUGACAGAGACACAUAGAAAUUUCUUACGAUUCAUAUGGUACAAGGAUAAUGAUCCCAAUCAGGAACUUAUAGACUAUCGAAUGACGGUACAUGUGUUCGGCAAUUCGCCAUCGCCAGCAGUUGCCACAUUUGGGCUGAGAAGAACUGCUGAGAUCUCCGAAACUGAAUUUGGGAAAGAUGUUAAAGAUUAUGUCGUUCGGAACUUCUACGUAGACGACGGGUUAAAUUCACUACCAAAUAGUUCUCAGGCUAUUGACCUCAUGAGGCGAACACAAGAGGCGCUCAAGACGAACGGCGAUCUAAGGUUGCAUAAAAUUGCCUCAAACGACGUCACAGUUAUGUCUGCAUUCUCUAAUGAUGACUUAGCUAAAGAUUUGAAGGACAUUAAAUUAGAACCGGAAAACUUACCUGUACAAAGAAGUCUAGGCCUAUGCUGGAAUCUGGCCUCUGAUACAUUCACGUUUGAUGUAUCAACCGAUGAAAAACCCUACACGAGACGAGGAAUAUUAUCUGUUGUGAACAGCUUGUUUGAUCCUAUAGGAUUUUUGGCACCAAUAACGGUACAAGGGAAAAUGUUUCUGCGUAAGCUUAUUUCAGGAACUAAGGAUUGGGAUGAGCCGUUACCGGAAGAACAUCGUACAGAGUGGGAAACAUGGCGAGACUCAUUAAAAGAUCUCCGAUGUUUACAAAUUCCGCGUACAUAUGCAACGGAAGGAUUGUCAGCAGCUGUAAAGAAAGAGCUACACAUUUUUUGCGACGCAUCUGAACAAGUUAUAGCUGCAGUUGCUUAUUUGAGAACAGAGUCUAGUAGUGCAGUCACGGAAGUCAAGUUUGUCAUUGGAAAGGCUAAAGUGUCACCGAUACACAGCCAUACUAUUCCCCGCCUAGAAUUGUGCGCGGCUGUUCUAGCGACUGAACUGUAUGCAAUAAUUAAGAAUCAGCUAGACACAUAUAUCGACAAAGCUGUAUUCUAUUCGGAUAGUAAAGUGGUAUUGGGAUAUAUCCACAACCAAAGUAGAAGAUUUUUCAAGUACGUCAGUAAUAGAGUGGAACGGAUCAGGAGUGUGUCGGCGCCUGAUCAAUGGACUUAUAUUCGCACGGACUUAAACCCUGCAGACUAUGCUACUAGGCCUUCACAUGCCUCGCAGAUCAAGAACAGUUCCUGGCUGAUUGGACCAGAUUUUUUGACUAGGAAGGAUUUAGAUAAAGGAACUUCAUCACAGCACAUUAUACCAGACUUUCCGUUGGAAAAUACAGACACUGAUAAAGAGAUAAGACCAUUAGUUACAGUUAGCAAAACGAAUGUAAAUGACAUUGCAAAACUAGGAUCGAAUCGCUUCGAAAGAUUUUCAUCAUGGAUGGCAUUAGUCAGAGCAAUCGCAAGACUGAAGCACUUUCUUUCAACCGUUUUCUCAGGAACCUUUCAUGGAUGGCAUAGUUGUGUAGACUGCAAAUCCGUUCAUAACUUUGAAGAAGCUCAGAAAUUCAUUAUCCGUGUCGUUCAACGUGAAGCAUACGAUAGUGAACUUUCUUGUCUAAAGGAAAAUUUGUGUGUGUCUAAGACCAGUUCAAUACUUACCUUGAAUCCUGUUCUUGACAAUGAUGGAUUACUUCGUGUAGGAGGCAGACUGAGUAGGGCUGAUAUCAGUUCUAAUGAAAAGAAUCCCAUUAUUAUACCAGGAAAGCACUAUCUUGCUACCCUUAUAGUUAGAUAUUGUCACGAGUUGGUCUUCCAUCAAGGGAGACACUUCACCGAAGGUGCUGUACGAAGCGCUGGAUUUUGGAUAGUUGGAGGAAAGCGAGUCAUAUCGUCUGUAAUUUUUCAAUGUUUCAAAUGCCGCAAACUUCGAGCAAGAGUGCAAAUUCAACAAAUGUCAGACCUACCAGUAGACCGUCUCACGCCAGCUUCUCCGUUUACGUUCGUUGGCUUGGAUGUAUUUGGCCCUUGGAGUGUAGUAGCAAGACGAACAAGAGGAGGUUUAUCUCAUAAUAAAUGUUGGGCGGUUCUUUUCACCUGUUUGACCAUACGAGCUAUACAUAUAGAAGUGAUUAAUGACAUGAGUUCUUCUUCGUUCAUAAAUGCGCUAAGGAGAUUUAUUGCUAUUCGUGGACAUGUCAAGGUAUUUCGCUCAGACAAUGGAACGAAUUUUGUCGGAUCAACAAAUAGUUUGAAAAUAGAUGUCAUAAAUAUUGAACAUGGCCCAGUGAAAGAUUUUCUGCUUACAAAGGGAAGUGUUUGGAUUUUCAACCCGCCACACUCCUCACACAUGGGAGGAGUGUGGGAAAGGAUGAUAGGGACAACUAGAAGAAUCUUGGAUUCAAUUAUGUUGGAAACAAAAGCAAAGGAUAUAACCAUAGAAGUUAUAACUACUCUGAUGGCUGAAGUAUGUAGCAUUGUUAACGCUCGCCCGAUUGUUUCAGUUUCAAGUGAUCCCGAGUCUCCAGAAAUCUUGUCACCAUCAGCUCUAUUGACUCACAAGACGGAAUCGGCGGAUGACUCCUUCAGCAACCUUGACAUCACCGACAUGUACAAGGCCCAAUGGAAACGGGUUCAAGUGAUGGCUGAAAUGUUCUGGAAUAAGUGGCGACGGGAGUAUCUACAGACACUACAAACUAGGCGCAAAUGGCAAUCUGCUACUCCGAAUCUUUCAGAAAACGAUGUUGUCCUUCUUAAGGAUAAAAGCGCCCAUAGGAAUGAAUGGCCAGUCGGAAUAGUAACGCACAUCUUUCCGAGUGAAGAUAAGAUGGUAAGAAAAACUGAAGUUCGAAUUAUGAAGGAUGGAAAACAAACGACUUACCUGCGUCCGAUUACUGAAUUGGUGUUACUGCAUUCUGCAUCUCAGUGA
rnacentral:sRNA from 1 species